rnacentral:rRNA from 1 species
GAUGAACGCUGGCGGCGUGCCUAAUACAUGCAAGUAGAACGCUGAAGGAGGAGCUUGCUUCUCUGGAUGAGUUGCGAACGGGUGAGUAACGCGUAGGUAACCUGCCUGGUAGCGGGGGAUAACUAUUGGAAACGAUAGCUAAUACCGCAUAAUAGUAGAUGUUGCAUGACAUUUGCUUAAAAGGUGCAAUUGCAUCACUACCAGAUGGACCUGCGUUGUAUUAGCUAGUUGGUGAGGUAACGGCUCACCAAGGCAACGAUACAUAGCCGACCUGAGAGGGUGAUCGGCCACACUGGGACUGAGACACGGCCCAGACUCCUACGGGAGGCAGCAGUAGGGAAUCUUCGGCAAUGGACGGAAGUCUGACCGAGCAACGCCGCGUGAGUGAAGAAGGUUUUCGGAUCGUAAAGCUCUGUUGUAAGAGAAGAACGAGUGUGAGAGUGGAAAGUUCACACUGUGACGGUAUCUUACCAGAAAGGGACGGCUAACUACGUG